rnacentral:tRNA from 2 species
GGGGUUUUAGCUCAGCUGGGAGAGCACCUGCUUUGCAAGCAGGGGGUCAGGAGUUCGAUCCUCCUAAGCUCCA